UGCAAGUCGAGCGGGGUGAUGGUGCUUGCACUAUCACCUAGCGGCGGACGGGUGAGUAAUGCUUAGGAAUCUGCCUAUUAGUGGGGGACAACAUUUCGAAAGGAAUGCUAAUACCGCAUACGUCCUACGGGAGAAAGCAGGGGAUCUUCGGACCUUGCGCUAAUAGAUGAGCCUAAGUCGGAUUAGCUAGUUGGUGGGGUAAAGGCCUACCAAGGCGACGAUCUGUAGCGGGUCUGAGAGGAUGAUCCGCCACACUGGGACUGAGACACGGCCCAGACUCCUACGGGAGGCAGCAGUGGGGAAUAUUGGACAAUGGGCGCAAGCCUGAUCCAGCCAUGCCGCGUGUGUGAAGAAGGCCUUAUGGUUGUAAAGCACUUUAAGCGAGGAGGAGGCUACUUUAGAUAAUACCUAGAGAUAGUGGACGUUACUCGCAGAAUAAGCACCGGCUAACUCUGUGCCAGCAGCCGCGGUAAUACAGAGGGUGCAAGCGUUAAUCGGAUUUACUGGGCGUAAAGCGCGCGUAGGCGGCUAAUUAAGUCAAAUGUGAAAUCCCCGAGCUUAACUUGGGAAUUGCAUUCGAUACUGGUUAGCUAGAGUGUGGGAGAGGAUGGUAGAAUUCCAGGUGUACCGGUGAAAUGCGUAGAGAUCUGGAGGAAUACCGAUGGCGAAGGCAGCCAUCUGGCCUAACACUGACGCUGAGGUGCGAAAAGCAUGGGGAGCAAACAGGGAUUAGAUACCCUGGUAGUCCAUGCCGUAAACGAUGUCUACUAGCCGUUGGGGCCCUUUGAGGCUUUU
rnacentral:rRNA from 1 species